rnacentral:misc_RNA from 1 species
CUUUUUCGGACUAUUUAGACACUUUGUUAAGAUAUUAAAUGACAGUUUCAUACAGCAUUAUCAAGAGUCUUUGGACAAGGUUAUUGUGGUAGAUGUGUGCAACAAUUUGAUUCUCCUAGCAUUUAUGGUUUUGUACCAUUUUAAAAUAAUAUGACUAUUAUUUUUGUUACUUAUAUAAAUAUCUUUACAACGAUUUAGUUUGAAUGUGGUCAGAAAAUUUGCGUCUAAAACCACAGUGUAGAUCUUUUUGUAGUAAACUACAGUCACUGCCAUAGAGGUGCUCGGCUACACUGUUAUUUUCCAAAAAUAUUCAUAAUCCAAGUGUAGGAAACAGUAAAUAACAACAACAAUAAUAAUAACUGCUGAUAGUUAGAUAUUUGCAAUUGGAGGUUUUCCUAGCUCGAAGGAUUUGCAUAUUGGGAGGAUGCCAGCCCUUCAUCUGGAAUUCUUGCCCAGCUUCAGGGGCUGGGCAGUGGGCAGUCAAGACAAUAACUACUAAAUGUUAAUCCCAAACUAGUUGGGGUCGAUUAUAUGGAUCCUUUUUUGUCAUUAAACUCUAUUUGAAAUCAAUUCCACAUCAAUAUCCAAAAAAUGUAAAUCCUUUGAUACUACUUUACUCCAUGUCAUUUUAGGUUUCUCCCUUUUCCCUUUUCACUCAUUCCAUCACUAACUUAUCAAACUUCCAUAAUAGAACAUUAUAUGCUCUUUUUUGGACAUGACUAAACCAUCUUAAUCAAUCUUCUUUUAUUUUAUCCCCAAGUAUGCUACAUGCACUUGCUGGCGGAUGUGAUCAUUUCUAAUCUUAUCCAUUAUCGUGUUACCAAACAUUCAUCUUAACAUCCGCAUUUCUGCCAUACAUAUCUUAUGGGUAUUCCCAUAAAUAUAGCUAGUCUAAUCACAAUUUUAUAGAACUUACCUUUCACUUUGUU